rnacentral:rRNA from 1 species
AUUGAACGCUGGCGGAAUGCUUUACACAUGCAAGUCGGACGGCAGCACGGACUUCGGUCUGGUGGCGAGUGGCGAACGGGUGAGUAAUGUAUCGGAACGUGCCCAGUCGUGGGGGAUAACGUAGUGAAAAUUACGCUAAUACCGCAUACGAUCUAUGGAUGAAAGCGGGGGAUCGCAAGACCUCGCGCGAUUGGAGCGGCCGAUAUCAGAUUAGGUAGUUGGUGGGGUAAAGGCCCACCAAGCCAACGAUCUGUAGCUGGUCUGAGAGGACGACCAGCCACACUGGAACUGAGACACGGUCCAGACUCCUACGGGAGGCAGCAGUGGGGAAUUUUGGACAAUGGGCGAAAGCCUGAUCCAGCCAUUCCGCGUGCAGGAUGAAGGCCCUCGGGUUGUAAACUGCUUUUGUACAGAACGAAAAAGUUUCUACUAAUACUAGGAGCUCAUGACGGUACUGUAAGAAUAAGCACCGGCUAACUACGUGCCAGCAGCCGCCGCGG